rnacentral:sRNA from 1 species
UUCUUUCAGGCUCCCCUGUGACUGUGCCUUCCUGUUAGUCUUGCAUGUCUCUCUUACAGGGAAUGCCAGAGCAGUGGGCCCGCUUGCUUCAGACAUCAAAUAUCACUAAGUCGGAGCAGAAGAAAAACCCGCAGGCUGUUCUGGAUGUGUUGGAGUUUUACAACUCGAAGAAGACAUCCAACAGCCAGAAAUACAUGAGCUUUACAGAUAAGUCAGCUGAGGAUUACAAUUCUUCUAAUGCCUUGAAUGUGAAGGCUGUGUCUGAGACUCCUGCAGUGCCACCAGUUUCAGAAGAUGAGGAUGAUGAUGAUGAUGAUGCUACCCCACCACCAGUGAUUGCUCCACGCCCAGAGCACACAAAAUCUGUAUACACACGGUCUGUGAUUGAACCACUUCCUGUCACUCCAACUCGGGACGUGGCUACAUCUCCCAUUUCACCUACUGAAAAUAACACCACUCCACCAGAUGCUUUGACCCGGAAUACUGAGAAGCAGAAGAAGAAG